CAGACUGAAGCACUUUGCUUUUCCAAGAUUGUUGUUUUGCCGUCCACGGUGUCCUAAUUUAGUUUCUUAUGGUGUAAGGUCGACAGAUUGACUUGCAAGAUCCAAGAGAGCAAAUUGCCAUCGCUUUCCUAUCCAGGUCACAUCUACACACCAACUCUGGAAGUUGUAGUGGCCGGUAUGAUUCGGGACACCUGCCUUCCGGCAAUGAUACACCGGGGCGAGCAAUGAAAGCCAACACAAGACAUGUUCUGGAGUCUUGCUCUGCACAUUUCGCUGCCCAAAGCUUCACAAAAAAUAAACAGCUAGUUACUAGGCUGAUUAGCGUUGUUUAAGCUCAAGCCCUCACCAUUGGCUGCGAGAAACAGAAAACUGGCAGAUUCUUGAAUGGCGCAUCCAUCCAUGUGGGCGGAUAAGGACGUGCUCCUGAGAAUGAGGGCGCUGCUGCUUCUGCUGCACAGUGGCGUUGUGGAGCUCAGUUUCCUCAGUAGGGGUCUGCUCCCCAUUCAAUUCAUGGGCAAUGGCUUGGCUUGGUGUGCAGCAGGAUAACCAUAUGCCCCGAGACCACUAUGAUGUUCAAUUAUCAUGCAAGAUUUU